rnacentral:sRNA from 1 species
UUCGUUCGCCCAUGGCGGGCGUUUCCUCCCUUCGACUUCAGGCCCUACCCAAUUCCGGGUGGGGCCAUUUCUUUUGCGGAG